UACGUAGGUGGCAAGCGUUGUCCGGAGUUAUUGGGCGUAAAGCGCGCGCAGGCGGUGCGGUAAGUCUCUGGUGAAAGCGCUCGGCUUAACUGGGCGAGGGCCGGGGAGACUGCCACGCUGGAGGGGAGCAGAGGCGAGUGGAAUUCCGGGUGUAGUGGUGAAAUGCGUAGAGAUCCGGAGGAACACCAGUGGCGAAGGCGGCUCGCUGGGCUCUACCUGACGCUGAGGCGCGAAAGCUAGGGGAGCAAACAGG
rnacentral:rRNA from 1 species